ACGGGAGGCAGCAGUGGGGAAUAUUGCACAAUGGAGGAAACUCUGAUGCAGCAACGCCGCGUGAGCGAAGAAGGUCUUCGGAUUGUAAAGCUCUGUCCUUGGGGACGAAGAAAGUGACGGUACCUAAGGAGGAAGCCCCGGCUAACUACGUGCCAGCAGCCGCGGUAAUACGUAGGGGGCAAGCGUUAUCCGGAAUUAUUGGGCGUAAAGAGUACGUAGGUGGUUUUGUAAGCGUAAGGUGAAAGCCCGGGGCUUAACCCCGGCCAGCCUUACGAACUGCAAGACUUGAGUGCAGGAGGGGAAAGUGGAAUUCCUAGUGUAGCGGUGAAAUGCGUAGAUAUUAGGAGGAACACCAGUGGCGAAGGCGACUUUCUGGCUCGUAACUGACGCUGAGGCACGAAAGCGUGGGUAGCAAACAGGAUUAGAUACCCUGGUA
rnacentral:rRNA from 1 species